UGUCUACGCUACUGACGUUUACAAAUAUAUAUAUCCACCAUUAAUUCUAAAAGUAGAAUAUUUUAAGAUCCUUUUUGAAUAUUUAUAGAGUUUAUAAACAAGGAAACGUUUACCUUGGGAUGGCAAUUGAAAUUGUAUGACAGCUAUAUGAGAAAAAAUUUCACACCUUCCAAUUCAGGUUCUGGGAAAUUACUACUAUUGUCUUUUGUUAAUUUUGUUUUUCAUAAUGAGAUGUAUAUUAAUAUCAUAAAAUUUAAUUUCAAUUAAUAAUUUCAUAUUGUUGAAUUAAUAAUUACGAUCACAUAACCUUGCACUCAUCUAUGACAAAAAUCUUGUGUCCGUAUUCUCAGGUCCUCGUUUGGAGCGAUAUCGAUGUCAUUGAAUGCGAGGGGAUCGAUUGUCUCGAUUCUCACGCAAUAGGAACGCGUAGUGCUUCAUUCGCAUGUAAAUAGAUAAUUCUAACCUAUCAUUUUUAUUGAAAAAGUGUUUUUCUUCUGUAUAUUGAACUGCUGGAAGAACUAGAACAAGCUGAAGAGACUCUCUAAUGCAACUCAGUAAUGACCAAUUUAGAAAAGUAUGUCGGCCAACUAACCAAAACUUUCAGAUAUGUUUUGACACAAUAAGAAUAUAUCUGGACGAACCUGUGAAAACUACAGUUGUAAGAUUUGGGUCAACUUGAAGUAGCUUCUCCAGUUAGAAUAGACUUCUUUGCCUUUGAUUGACAGCACAAGUACAUGUACAGAACUAGAAACUAUUUUGCAUAUAUGUAUGGACAGUUUCUAUAAGUGGAAGGUGUUCCGACGAAGUGAAACAAAUAGUGUAUCGUUCUCUCUCUCCUCCGAGCGCCUCACUUAUUUCUGCGCAACUUUUGCGCGCAUGAAGCAUGCGCAGUAUAGACAAAGUGUCUAGAACGAGAGAGAGAAUUAAUACCGUCUACACCAUACGUAGAGACGUUCGUUGAUCGCUCGCUUGUGAGAGGAGUGAGUUGAGAAUUCCGGACCUGGUAUACAUGUCAAGUAUAUAAAUUAAUGUGAGAACAUUAACAGGUGGUUUUUGCGGUUGUCAUGUGAAGAUAGUAUAAUAAAAUAAA